CAUGGCAACGGCCUGGAUGUAUGCGGCAGGCGAUGAUGCUCCGUUUAGCCUCCUGGCGAACUAGAUGAAAUUAAGGCAACGUUUUCAGUACAAUUUUUAAGUGCUUGCAUCUGUGCUAGUAUGCUAAUGCGUACGUUUGCUUCUUGGUUGCCUGAAACACGGUUAUCGACAUGCUAGCUAACUAAUAUGGUUUGCGGUUUAUAGGAUAGGAUAGAUUCUGCCGUAUCAUUUAACAUUUAAGGAUGUCGUCAUAUAUCACACCGUCCCACGGUUUGCAGAAAUCGCAGCAGACCGAGGAUGAGCGAUUCUACAUGAGAUGCAGGGCCGCGUACGUGGCGGUGUUUAAGUCCAGUCUAGCAAACAUACAAAGCAAGGAGCAACUGUGCAUAGUUUUGCAACAGGCUGGGCUGAAUCCGUCUCUGAAAACUCUGGGUGCGUACUGGACCCCAGGGACAGUCAAACUUAACUUUGACGACUUCUGCGAAAUACUUAAAAAGGAGAAACCAAUAGACAAAAAUGAGGUACUGAAGGCUUUCAGAAAGAUGGAUCCAGACGGUAGCGGAUAUAUUUCACAUGGUGAUCUCUACAGAGUCCUCACUUCAACUGGAGAAAAGAUGAGUCCCGAGGAAGUAAACAGCAUCUUUUCCAUCAUGGAGAUUAACCGGGAUGGAAAGCUGGACUACAACGAGUUCUGCAGGCUGUUGGUGUUCGCCACCAAGGAGUGCCAGACCGUGGACCUUCAGAGACUGGAGGCCGACGGUAGACAGAAGAGGCAGAAUUUCGGCAAUGAUUCGGAGAGCUCUCCCCAGAGGCCUGCCACACAGCCCAGCCCUGAGCCUUCAGAGAGCUCUCUCCAGAGGCCUACCACACAGCCCGGCCCUGCAGCUUCAGAGAGCUCUCUCCAGAGGCCUGCCACACAGCCCGGCCCUGCGGCUUCAGAGAGCUCUCUCCAGAGGCCUGCCACACAGCCCGGCCCUGUGGCUUCAGAGAGCUCUCUCCAGAGGCAUGCCACACAGCCCGGCCCUUCGGCUUUAGAGAGCUCUCUCCAGAGGCCUGCCACACAGCCCGGCCCUGUGGCUUCAGAGAGUUCUCUCCAGAGGCCUGCCACACAGCCCGGCCCUGCGGCUUCAGAGAGCUCUCUCCAGUGGCCUGCCACACAGACCGGCCCUGCGGCUUCAGAGAGCGCCCUGAAAACAGAGCUGGACACCACUCCGAGGAAAGGUGGGGCAGAGAACCGGUCCCCCGCCUGGACCUCCUCCGCCCGCAGCCGGAGAUCAUCCACAUCAGGAGCCGGUGGGACGAGAAGCGGCAAACUGCUGGAGCCCCGCUCGCUGCAGGACUGGCAUCACAUCAGUUUGAAAGGUUGCUUCUACCUGGAGGACGAUGGAGAGAUUGUAUCCCUGCAAUACCGACUGCACCUUGCCCAGACAACGGCCGUCUUCCUCACCGUACAGCCUCUCAACCUGCGUCUGGUGGACGAAAAACCCUCAUCUUGGAUGAACAUUGACACUGCACUGUUCCUUAUGAAUGAAACAAAGGACGGCUUUAACUUUGUCUGUUGUACGGAGUUGCGCGAUAAAGAGAAAUGUGGCUGGAAGGGAGAGCUGAAUGGCGGCACCUACUAUAUAAUACCGUUUACCACGGGCUGCAGGCUGAGAAAGAGCAGGCAACCAGUGACAAAGACUGCUCAACUGGUAUAUCGCACCGAAACUGGGGAGCUGGCUCUCACUAAGGAGUUCAGAGCCACCCUCUCAGACAUAUUUGAGGUCAUCGACCUGGAUGGCAACGGCCUACUCAGCUUGGAGGAAUACAAUUUCUUUGAGCAGAGGAGCAGCGGCGAGAAAUGCGACAGGGAUGCUUGGGCCGUCUGCAAAGAGAACUUCGACACCAGGAAGAACCAGCUGACACGCCAGGGCUUCAUGGAGCUCAGCUUGAUGGAGGCGAACGACCGCGAGGGCGACCCCAGUGACUUAUGGGUAACCCUGGAGUCCAUGGGCUAUAACAGAGCCUUGGAGAUGGUGGAGGCCUGCCCUUUCGCGGUCAAUGUGUACUCAGAGGCCUCCAAGCCCACCGUGCAGCCCGUCAGCCUGGAGUCGUCUGGCAGGGUGCUAAACGCUGCAGUGUGCGAGUCUGUCAUCGCUAAAGGGCAGGGCAGGCCGCUGAGGGGCCACAGUGACGUGCUCAUCCACACUUACAGGAGCGAAGCCAGGAUCUCCUCCGUCAUCGACAAUAAGUCUGCAGAGAAGGUGACAGUCCACGUAAACAACGAGCAGAAUAAGAACUGCUGUGGCAGCAGGGGCUUAAGCAUGUUUGCUGUGGAAAUCCCCCCCAGAAGCAAAGUGGUCUGCCAACACAUUGUUCCUGUCAAUGAAAAGCAGGAGUGGAUCUACAACUGUGUGGAAAAUAUCCUGCCCUGAGCCUCAGACUCUCACCGUCCAUGUGGGAUAAUGAGCUGUCAUUAAUGAGACAGCGGCGACACUGUCCCAAAGACAUCUAGUCUAUGUCAGCCCCAUGACCAUGACCAUGCCCUGGAUUGAUGGGUGGGAAAUGGAGGAAAGGGAUGAGUGGGUAAAAGUGUGUGUUGUGUGUGUGUGUGUGUGUGUGUGUGUGGAUUAGGUUUAUAUAACAUUGUGGGGACCAUUUUUCAUCUCUCCAUCUGUUUCAGUCAUUUAUCUUGUUUACAUUUUCACUUAUUUAGCAGAGACUUCCAGCCAAAGUGACAUACAAUUGAGAAGAGUGUCCCAACCAACUGUGUCACACACUGUCCCCUGAGUAACAACUGACCUACAAAAUAUUACCUGUAUAAAAUAUCUGUACGCAUAAACAAUGUAUUUCUAUUGCAAAGGAGUAGUUUAUGGAUCCAUAAAAAUAUCAAUAAGCUCUAACAUACCACAGUCACUUUAGUAAUGCUUCUAUGUCAUUCUAAAAGGUAUGUUUUGUUUAUUAAUUUGUAUUUAUUAAAGUAUCGAACCCUGUAAACCUGUACUGGAUAAACUAAUGGAAGAGGAGUGUAUUGAAAAGCACAGCACGGUUAGAAAGCUUUUUUGGGCGCGGCUCGUAUACCCGGUUCGGGUCUAAGGACGGACGCUCCGCCGGGGCGUUCUGUGGGCUCUUGGUUCAGCCUGUCCGCCGGGUGCCUGUAUUCCCAGGGUAGUCUUGGCCCGCUAUUUAUAUCACAUAGUGGCUAUACACUUUGACCUUCUCUACUGUAACUGUAUAUUGGUCUGCUAAAUGUCAUAUUAGUUGUAUAAAUCAUCUUUGCCUCUUUGCUUUUGAGGAAAAUACACAAUCAUUAGUAGCCAAUGAAGCAUUAUUAUACGACUUUUAAAGAAGGCCGUAUACCCAUACACCGUAACAGCACAUACUCUAAUCUGUUUGUAAAAAAAAAGUCAACGAUAUUUUUAUUCCGAUAUCUGAAAUGCAUUUCUUCACUUGACAAAAUUAGAGAAUUAAUAUAUAUAUGG